rnacentral:rRNA from 1 species
GAGCUCGCGUCUGAUUAGCUAGUUGGUGGGGUAAAAGCCUACCAAGGCAGCGAUCAGUAGCUGGUCUGAGAGGAUGAGCAGCCACACUGGGACUGAGACACGGCCCAGACUCCCACGGGAGGCAGCAGUGGGGAAUUUUCCGCAAUGGGCGAAAGCCUGACGGAGCAAUACCGCGUGAGGGAGGAAGGCCUUUGGGUUGUAAACCUCUUUUCUCAGGGAAGAAGAACUGACGGUACCUGAGGAAUAAGCAUCGGCUAACUCCGUGCCAGCAGCCGCGGUAAUACGGAGGAUGCAAGCGUUAUCCGGAAUCAUUGGGCGUAAAGCGUCCGCAGGUGGUUUUUCAAGUCUGCUGUUAAAGACUGGAGCUCAACUCCGGAAAGGCAGUGGAAACUGAGAAACUAGAGUUCGGUAGGGGUAGCGGGAAUUCCCAGUGUAGCGGUGAAAUGCGUAGAUAUUGGGAAGAACAUCGGUGGCGAAGGCGCGCUACUGGACCGAAACUGACACUCAGGGACGAAAGCUAGGGGAGCGAAAGGGAUUAGAUACCCCUGUAGUCCUAGCUGUAAACGAUGGAAACUAGGUGUGGCUUGUAUCGACCCGAGCCGUGCCGUAGCUAACGCGUUAAGUUUCCCGCCUGGGGAGUACGCACGCAAGUGUGAAACUCAAAGGAAUUGACGGGGGCCCGCACAAGCGGUGGAGUAUGUGGUUUAAUUCGAUGCAACGCGAAGAACCUUACCAGGGCUUGACAUGUCGCGAAUCUCCUUGAAAGGGGAGAGUGCCUUCGGGAGCGCGAACACAGGUGGUGCAUGGCUGUCGUCAGCUCGUGUCGUGAGAUGUUGGGUUAAGUCCCGCAACGAGCGCAACCCUCGUCUUUAGUUGCCAGCAUUAAGGUGGGCACUUUAGAGAGACUGCCGGUGACAAACCGGAGGAAGGUGGGGAUGACGUCAAGUCAGCAUGCCCCUUACGCCCUGGGCUACACACGUACUACAAUGGUUGGGACAAAGGGCAGCGACCCCGCGAGGGAAAGCGAAUCUCAUCAAACCCAGCCUCAGUUCAGAUUGCAGGCUGCAACUCGCCUGCAUGAAGGAGGAAUCGCUAGUAAUCGCAGGUCAGCAUACUGCGGUGAAUUCGUUCCCGGGCCUUGUACACACCGCCCGUCACACCAUGGAAGCUGGUCACGCCCGAAGUAGUUACCCUAACCUUUCGGGGGGGGGGACUCCUAAGGCAGGGCUAGUGACCGG